rnacentral:misc_RNA from 1 species
GUGAAUCAUCGAAUCUUUGAACGCAAAUUGCACUCCCUGGUAUUCCGGGGAGUAUGCCUGUUUGAGGGUCGUUAGAACAAAAAUCGAAGCGUCGCUCUUUUUUUUUAAGGUUAAUCGCUUCGGAAUUGACCCUUCUUUCAAAUCCUAAUUCAUUUCAAAUUGGCUUAAAAUUCAUCCAUCCGUUCCAUUUAAACCUUAUUUAAAUUCAACUUGAAUUAUAACCCC